UAGCCGUAAACGAUACUCGCUAGGUGUCGGCCAUGGUGCGACCGUUGUCGGUGCCGUAGGGAAGCCGUGAAGCGAGCCACCUGGGAAGUACGGCCGCAAGGCUGAAACUUAAAGGAAUUGGCGGGGGAGCACAACAACGGGUGGAGCUUGCGGUUUAAUUGGAUUCAACGCCGGAAAUCUUACCGGGACCGACAGCAACAUGAAGGCCAAGCUGAAGACUUUGCCGGAUUAGCUGAGAGGAGGUGCAUGGCGUAGACGUCU
rnacentral:rRNA from 1 species